rnacentral:rRNA from 1 species
UACACCCCUGCGGGAGGCAGCAGUGGGGAAUUUUGGACAAUGGGCGAAAGCCUGAUCCAGCAAUGCCGCGUGAGUGAAGAAGGCCUUCGGGUUGUAAAGCUCUUUUGUCAGGGAAGAAACGGUGAAAGCUAAUAUCUUUUGCUAAUGACGGUACCUGAAGAAUAAGCACCGGCUAACUACGUGCCAGCAGCCGCGGUAAUACGUAGGGUGCAAGCGUUAAUCGGAAUUACUGGGCGUAAAGCGUGCGCAGGCGGUUUUGUAAGUCUGAUGUGAAAUCCCCGGGCUCAACCUGGGAAUUGCAUUGGAGACUGCAAGGCUAGAAUCUGGCAGAGGGGGGUAGAAUUCCACGUGUAGCAGUGAAAUGCGUAGAUAUGUGGAGGAACACCGAUGGCGAAGGCAGCCCCCUGGGUCAAGAUUGACGCUCAUGCACGAAAGCGUGGGGAGCAAACAGGAUUAGAUACCCGGGUAGUCCC